GAAGAAAGAAUGCAUCUGACCUUUAUCGCUUACCUCUGGAUUCCCCGUGCUUUGCCUAGAGAGUCCCUCUGAGGACUGGGUUUCUCCGACCACGUGGUAGAAUGCAUGACUUCAGGUGGGAUGAGAAGAAAAUUUACCACCUUUGGCUUCAAACCCUGGAGAGGGAAAUGACACUUUAUCUCAGAUUAUAUCUCAAAAAUCCCAUGGGAUGAAUCCCAUAAACCUAGAUGUAGGAAUUAAGACUUGCAGUUGGUUUGAUUUGCAGGGGGAGAGAGUGUAGCCUAACUCCUACUUCCUUACACCAGUGAUGAGAUGGUGACAUCAACUUCAUGUGACGUACAGGCUUGAAGGGCAGGUGGUGGUGGAGACAAGCGGAGUUGUGAGAGGCCAGGCGGGGCAAUGUGUGCUAUUUCAAUAUUUCGAGUUUAAAGUCUAUGUGGCAAUCAGAGUUAGAAAUCUUCCAAGGAUACGAGACAUAUAAACAUGGAGUCGAAGAAGAGGCUGGACAGAUUUGACUUGGAGGUAAAUCCUAAAUACACGGGACUCCUAAUUACCUAUUAGUGAAAACUAUGGGAAAAGAUGAACUCACCAGGAAAAGCAUGUAGGUCCCCAGAAGCCAGCGUGACCCAAUCCUGGGCAAGGACAACGCUUCAGGGAUUGACUCAUAACGAGGAUCCAGCAAGUGAAGAUGGAGAAGGUGAAGUUGGACCAGUAGGAAGGAAACCAAGAAAGGAAGGAAGCGUUGUUAAAAAAUGAACUGCCCCUGUUCAGACAUAAGGAGGGGUUAAAUGAGAUGAGGAUUCAAAAGCGGCUGUUGGAUUCGGCAGCCUCACUUCGAGCACCAAGACGUUAGACACGAUGACACUGCAGAUUUUAAUAAGUCAGCUUGGAUUCUCAGUGGAAUAGCGGGACCUGAUGGUGCCUUUGGAAAGCAGUUUCAGGUGAGUGGAGGCUGGAAGCCCGUGGCAUCGGGCGGUCAGGGGGUGGGGACGAACCGCUGUGAGGAGGGUUUGCACUGGUAGCGAUGCAGCUGAUGUAGGAACCUCUGGCUGUAUGUGCACCGGCGUGAUUGACCGGCCGUGACCAGCAGGAAGAUUUUCCAGAUACCAUCUUCUGUCCCUCAGCCAUACCCUCCCUCCUUCCUUACUUUUCUAAACAUAGUAUGUACCAUGGUUGAGGUUUCUCUAGGCUUGAGCAAGUGUAUUGCUUAGAAUUUGAUCUCUCCCAGGCAUAAAAUUGUAAAAAUGAAAGUAAAAAAAGGUUGGGAAGUUCCCACUGUGGCACAGCAUCAUCGGUGGUGUCUCUGCAUCACCAGAGCGUGGGUUCGAUCCCUGGCCCGGCACAGUAGGUUAAAGGAUCAGCAUUUCUGCAGAUGUGGCGUAGGUCACAACUGCAGCUGGGAUCUGAUCCUUGGCCUGGGAAUUCCAUAGCCGUGGCCAAAAAAAAAAAAAAAACAAGACAAAAGCAAAAAGGUUGGACUUGAAGUAUUGACCUGAAGACGCAUUAGGGAAUUUGGUAUGUUGAUUUCUGGGGCUCUCGGGGUUUACGUGUGAAUGUGCAUUAAUGUAGUCUAAACACAGUCCAGUAGAGUCUAAAAUUAUCUGCCGCAUACAUUUAACUGGUUCUGCUAACUGGUUUUACAGAGGGGGCCUAAUGUCUAUCUUGUCAAAGGUUGAGGGUCCGUGCAGUUGCUAAUAUUGUGUUUUGCGGCGGGGCAUCGGCGGGGUGUUUAGAGGUAGCUGGUACCGGGGAGAGGAUGAACAUUGCAAAGUGCAUUCUCAUCUCGGGACAAGGCGGCGGAGUACGGGACCUUGAGCUCACCUCCUCUUAACCUGCAUUCUGCCACCGCUGAACCCAAGUGUGACGUCCUCCCGCCAUCCCCCGGUUCAUGGAGGUGGAGGCAGGUCCAGCUGGCAGGCCAGGUCUCCCAGGACGGACAUGGACUGGUUGGCGUGAGGCUCCAGGUUACUUCUUGAUUAAGAACGUCUAACCAUGAUCCUGGGCAGUCAUCAUCUAGUGUAUUGAGAGGUGACAAGUCUCAUCCAGCUGCAGACAUCCUGAGCUCUCUGGGGAAAUGAAGCAAAGGGCAUUGCAGAAAGAAGGAAUGCAGAAUAUUCCAUUUCCUGUUGGCUCACUACCAGGAUUCUGCAUCCUGUUCCAUUUUCAUUAAGGUUUGUUGCACAUGACCCAGUGCUUAAUUUUGUGAUGGGUGGGUGUGAAACCCAAAGUAUUUGAGGGGGAUUAGAUAUUGUUGACACUGCAUUGGGCGGGAGACUACCAAAUGCUUUCCUCCAUUCCUGUAGCUCAGUCGUUUCCCCAGGGAAAAGAGCAUUGCACGCUCUGGCCUGGAGUCCCAGCUCUGGGCAGACUCUGUGUAAGAGUUUCUCUUUACAGACUGAUCUAUGAUCCAUGACACCCUGUCUGCAGGACAGGCACAACACAGUGGCGAUACGGGACAAGAUCCGAACUUGCCCUAGGUAGAAUUACAAUUCUCCUUCCAGCCUUCCUAGCUAAUCCUCGGAUCAGAACACACUUGGAACGCUGAGAGAAAUAGGUAUAGCAAGAAACACAGUGGACCUGUUGGUUUCCAUGUCUGGAUCCAUAUGUAUGUCUAUGGAUGGAACAUUCUGGAAAAGUGACUCAACAUUUUUAUUGUCAAUUAUUAGAAGUCUAUUAUUUAACUAAAAAAAAAAAGUGCACACUUAAAACUCCUAGCCAGUGUACUUUUGAGUCCUUUUCUAAAGACCCUCCAAUCUCAAAUCGGUAGUAAACCACAGAACUGUAAAAAUGUCUGCAGUUUUUCCCUCAGUGCAUCCCUGGAAGUUUUGUUGAGAAUCAAAGCAUCAUAAAGUUGCUCAUAUUCUCUCCUACAGGGACAAUGGCGUAAUUGGGAGCUGAGACCCUGACUAAGGAUUUGAAGUCCAGUAGACCAUAAAUACGGCCACUGCCCUACCGGAAAUGUGAAGCCAUCACCGCUGUCAGUGCUGGUGAUUCCUAACAUUUUAAAAUCAUGUCCAAAGUCGCGGAAGCCUGUCUUUUAUUAUUACAGAGGGCCUUCGCAGGUAUCUUGUCCAGCCCACAAUUGGAAAUAAGGAUUUUCAAAUCGAAGACAGUUAAGUGAUUUGCUUACUGUACUUAGAGGCAGAACCAGAGGGCUUCUCUGUCUUUCUCCUCUGCUAAGGUCAGCCCCGCAGCACCUGCAAAUUAAACAUGUAAAUGUGGGAAAAGAGGCAACACAUGCAUAGAGGCAACGGAAAAGUUCCUUUAUCAUCCAUGUGACCCAGUAUUAGUAUUUUUUAUAAUAAGAUAUUAAAUAGGGCAUCUGGUUCAUAAGUGUGCUAUCUUUCUGAGAAUUUUGGAGAAUAUUUUAUGGGACAAAAUGAUGCCUUUGACUGCAUCUGAAGACACUUUCCUAACCAAUGAUAGACUUUCAAAAUUAUUCCCUUAGAACAGGCGCUGGCAAACUUUUUUUGGUAAAAGACCAGAUUGUAAAUAUUAAAUUUUUUUUCUUUUAUUCUUGUUUCUUUUCCAUUAGAUAGUAAAUAUUUUAGACUUUUUAGGCCACGCCGUCUCUGUGUAACUUCUCAACUCUGUAGCCAGAGACAACAGUAAGAGAAUGGGUGGGACUGUGUUCCAGUAAAUCUAUUUAUGGAUGCUGACAUUUGAAUUUCAUAUAAAUUUCAUUCUUUUCAUGUGUCACAAAAUGCACUUCUUCUUUUGAUUUUUUUUCUCCCCACCCAUUUAAAAAUAGAAUACGCUUCUAAGCGUUCAGCCCCACAGAAACAGGUGGAGGCCCAGACUUGGCCUGUGUGUAAGAUGCUCUGUCUUUAGGGGGGAGAAAAGGGGUCGAGGGUCCGAGCUGAAAGGACUGACUUUCAAACUGGUGCCGUGACUGUGGAAACAGUGUAGAGGUUUCUCAAAAAACAAAAAACAGAACUGCCGUGUGACCCAGAAAGUCCACUCCCUGGUUUUACCCAAAAAAACCCCAAAACACUAAUUUGAAACAAUGCACCCAGUGGUCAUAGCAGUAUCAUUUACAAUGGCCAAGAUAUGGAAGCAGCCUAAAGGUCCAUCAACAGAUAAAUGGAUAAAGAAGAUGUGAUGGCUAGCUGUCUAGCUAGAUUGUCUGUCUGUUUAUCUGUCUGUCUGUCUAUCUAUCUCAGUAUCACACAUCUAUCUAUCUGUCUACAUACAUGGUAGAAUACUACUCAGCCAUAAAAAAGCAUGAAAUGUUGCCAUGUGCAGCAACAUGAAUGGUCUUGGAGGGCAUUAUGUUAAGUGAAAUAAGUCAGACAGAGGAAGACAAAUAGUGAAUGAUCUCACUUAUAUGUGGAGUCUAAAAAAGACAACAAACUAGUGACUAUAAUAAAAAGAAGCAGACUCACAAGUAUAGAGAAGCAACUGGUGUUCGCCCUUGGGGAGAGAAGGAGGACAGGCAGGAUGAGAGCAGGGAGAAGGAAGUCGAAACGACUGGGCGUAAGACAGGCUCAAGGAUGCUUUGUACACAUGAGGAAUAGAGCCAAUAUUUCAUAAUAGCUAUAAAUGGAAAGUAACCUUUACAAAUUGUGUUAACAGUUUAAAAGCUGAAUACAUAAACAAAAAGUUACUUUCAGAAUAUGUGCGUAUCUUGAGGUGGUUGCUUAACUUUUUGGUCUUGCAAUGCAGGGCCCACCACCUAUUCACAGGGUGACUUUGGGGACCGAGUGAGGUGCCACAUGGAGGGCCCAGCCUGGAGUCUGAGCAGAGCAGAUGUGAGGAAAUGUGAGCUCCUCUUCCUGCCUUUUGCCCUCCGAUCCGCGUAUAACCACACACCCCUGCACACACAGAGUUUACUUUACAAAAAAAAAAGUGCGUUUCUUCCCUUCCUCUUACUUCCUUCUUCCCUUUCCUGGUUACCCGGGGCCCGGAGGGAUGUGAAGCUCCCCAGAGGACCCGCCUGUGGAACUCAGUGUUCUGUUGGAAAAUCAGUGGUCUCUGUACUGAGAGCCACUUGCUUUCCCUUUACUUCUUUCAUCCCCUAAAAUAAAAACAAAACGGUCACGAUAAACCAUAAACCAAAACGCCAACCUUUUCCGGAGUCCAAGUGUCACUAGGGAACAGCGGAUUUGGGGAACCUGGGUGAUUCUCAAACCCCGGAAUGAGAAAGCUUCGAUGAACAUGUAUUGUGUUAAGGCAGGUGGACUCCAGUUUGCUACCACAUCAGAAUUCAGAACCUUCUGCAGCUGUCACCUGGGCGUCAUCACCAUGCCGAGAGGUGUGGUCCAUCCGUGGCUACCCUUCCAGGCCUCAGCUCAGAGCCCAACUUAACCGACCUCUGAGCCCCCAGAAAAACCACACUCGUGAGAGAUGCUCCUCACGUUGCCUGGGCGUCGAGAGACUCCUGCCCACCUACAGCUCAAUGCAAGGCCAGCACAGACGUUCCCAAGCUUCCUUCUGACCCACAGACAACCCUGCAGGGGACAUCAAGUCACAAGAGGGAAGCUGGAUUUUUAUUUCCAUUUAAAAAUGGAUGCCAUUUUCCCAACAUAAAUGCAAAGGGGAAACUGGGCGAGUGGAUAGAAAAAUAUUGCAGAUACUUACUUCUAGAAUCAGACGUCUAAAUACCUAUUAGAAAAGUUGUGGGAGAAGGAGGAGGGAGUGGGAUGGACCAGGAGUUGGGGUUAGUAGAUGCUAACUCUUCCAUUUAGAAUGGACAGGCAGUGAGGUCCUACUGUACAGCACAGGGGGUUGACCAUGAUGGAAAAGAAUAUUAAAAAUGUGUAUAUGUAUAUAUAUAUAUGAAUAUAACUGAGUUUCUGCUGUACAGCAGAAAUUGGCACAACAUUGUAAAUCAACUAUUCCCAUCGUGGCUCAGUGGUUAACAAACCCAACUGGGAUCCACGAGGAUGCAGGUUCAAUCCCUGGCCUCCGUUGGUGGGUUUAGGAUCUGGCGUUGCCAUGAGCUGAGGUGUAGGUCACAGACACAGCUCAGAUCCUGAGUUGCUGUGGCUGUGGUGUAGGCCAGCAGCUGUAACUCCUAUUCGACCCCUAUCCUGGGAACCUCC
rnacentral:lncRNA from 1 species